GCCAGAGUGGCGUAAUGGCAGCCGCAGCAGACUCAAAAUCUGCCGUACGCAAGUACGUGAGGGUUCGAGUCCCUCCUCUGGCACCA
rnacentral:tRNA from 2 species